GAUGAACGCUGGCGGCGUGCCUAAUACAUGCAAGUCGAGCGAACGGACGAGGAGCUUGCUCCUCUGACGUUAGCGGCGGACGGGUGAGUAACACGUGGAUAACCUACCUAUAAGACUGGGAUAACUUCGGGAAACCGGAGCUAAUACCGGAUAAUAUAUUGAACCGCAUGGUUCAAUAGUGAAAGACGGUUUUGCUGUCACUUAUAGAUGGAUCCGCGCCGCAUUAGCUAGUUGGUAAGGUAACGGCUUACCAAGGCAACGAUGCGUAGCCGACCUGAGAGGGUGAUCGGCCACACUGGAACUGAGACACGGUCCAGACUCCUACGGGAGGCAGCAGUAGGGAAUCUUCCGCAAUGGGCGAAAGCCUGACGGAGCAACGCCGCGUGAGUGAUGAAGGUCUUCGGAUCGUAAAACUCUGUUAUUAGGGAAGAACAAAUGUGUAAGUAACUGUGCACGUCUUGACGGUACCUAAUCAGAAAGCCACGGCUAACUACGUG
rnacentral:rRNA from 1 species